rnacentral:rRNA from 1 species
UACAGAGGGUGCAAGCGUUAAUCGGAAUUACUGGGCGUAAAGCGCGCGUAGGUGGUUAGUUAAGUUGGAUGUGAAAUCCCCGGGCUCAACCUGGGAACUGCAUUCAAAACUGACUGACUAGAGUAUGGUAGAGGGUGGUGGAAUUUCCUGUGUAGCGGUGAAAUGCGUAGAUAUAGGAAGGAACACCAGUGGCGAAGGCGACCACCUGGACUGAUACUGACACUGAGGUGCGAAAGCGUGGGGGGAGCAAACAGGAUUAGAUACCCUGGUAGUCCACGCCGUAAACGAUGUCAACUAGCCGUUGGGAGCCUUGAGCUCUUAGUGGCGCAGCUAACGCAUUAAGUUGACCGCCUGGGGAGUACGGCCGCAAGGUUAAAACUC